rnacentral:rRNA from 1 species
CCAAUAGCGUAUAUUAAAGUUGUUGCAGUUAAAAAGCUCGUAGUUGAACUUCGGGAUCAAGGGAUCGGUCAUGCUUUCGUAUGUACUGGUCUUAUUGGUUCUCACCUUCUAAAGAACCAUAAUGUCAUUCAUUUGAUGUUAUGGGGAAUUAGGACUGUUACCUUGAAAAAAUUAGAGUGUUUAAAGCAGGCUUACGCUUGAAUACAUUAGCAUGGAAUAAUGAAAUAGGACAUCCGAUUCCAUUUUGUUGGUUUCUAGGAUCGAUGUAAUGAUUAAUAGGGAUAGUUGGGGGCAUUAGUAUUCAAUUGUCAGAGGUGAAAUUCUUGGAUUUAUUGAAGACUAACUACUGCGAAAGCAUUUGCCAAGGAUGUUUUCAUUAAUCAAGAACGAAAGUUAGGGGAUCGAAGACGAUCAGAUACCGUCGUAGUCUUAACCAUAAACUAUGCCGACUAGGGAUCGGAUGAUGUUAAUUUUUUAAUGACUCAUUCGGCACCUUACG